GUGUCAGCCGCCGCGGUAAGACGAAGGUGGCGACCGUUGUUCGGAAUUACUGGGCAUAAAGCGCACGUAGGCGGCAAUGUAAGUCAGGUGUGAAAUCCCCCGGCCCAACCGGGGAAUUGCGCUUGAUACUGUGUUGCUUGAGGGCAGGAGGGGACCGUGGAAUUCCUGGUGGAGCGGUGAAAUGCGUUGAUAUCAGGAGGAACACCGGCGGCGAAGGCGACGGUCUGGCCUGCUUCUGACGCUGAGGUGCGAAAGCCAGGGGAGCAAACGGGAUUAGAAACCCGCGUAGUCC
rnacentral:rRNA from 1 species